CCUGGUACUCGGGCCCCUUCCAAGACCCUGUCACCUAAUUUGUACUUGUCAUUUUGUAUUACUUUUCUUAAAGAGGGCCUCCAAAAUUAUAUUAUUUUAGGCCUCCCCAACGCCUGAAUCUACCCCUUAGGUGGCUAUGCUUUCUGUGUGGGUGCUCGGCUGGGGUACAAGCUGUGACCAAUCUUGAGACCCACCUCGCUCCCCAAGGACCCUGAGCCACAAGGUCUAAUUUCCUCUUUUUGACAAAACAUGAGUUUCUCUGACUGGUCACAAAUAUCAGAGCCCAGCAUCCCACUCACUUCCUUUCAUUGUAAUUUGGGCAUGUUAAUAUUUUUUUCCUUCUCUUUCCCUUCUUACAACAGGAAAAGUGAUGGCUAGUCAACGCAAUAUAAAUAUAACUAGGUUAGGCUCAGAAGCUCAUGAGUUAGCACAGACUGAAGAUUGCACAUGUCAAAACAGUUUUUCACUUUGGUGUGUUGGACUGUUACCAUUUCAGGAUGACCCCACAGGGAUAAACCUGCAACUCAACAUUUAUGACAUUUAUGACAUCACAAAGCCAAUGGGUGGGACUACUCCAUAUUUACUAAGGUCCUCACUCACUGUUUCCUAUACUACAAAACUACAUUUACUAGGUAUGAAUAAAGAGAAACUGGUCUUGGGACAUCCACACAUACUUUGAAAACAGCAAUUUAAUUUAUUGUUUGGGGAGUACACUGUAGAUGAGAGGUGAGUCAAACAAUGGUCAGAACGCUGAGCCAGAGAAGACGGUAUAGAACACCACUUCCCUAAUGUCAAAGCCUGGGGGUAAGGCAUCAGUGGGGUUUUUUCCACGUAUGCCUACUGGCAUCUUCUCCCAAGAAAGGUCUGUUUGCCCUCCCUGGCAGAAGUAUCUCUCCUUCUCCCAGGAGUCAGAUUUCUGACCCAUGUCCCAUUAACUAACUCCUUUCUGUGACUCAGUAGACAGAAGGCUGGAAUGGAGUGUUAAUGUUUCCACGUCUCUGGCUCUGAUCUACAUGCCCCUGUUCCUGCAUGUUCUAUGUGUGCCUCUCUCAUGCAACUCAUCACACGGGUUCCUUGUCGUUUAUGCUCACUUGACUUUAAGUUGCUAGAUACAGAAGGAGCUAUGUUUUAUUCAUUGUUGAGUCUCAGAGCCUAGCACUGUCUAACAUCCAUGAAUGAAUGAAUGAAGUUUGUAAUGGAAAUGAGGCUCAUGAAUAUAAUUAGGAAGCCUAUGAGUGAAGAUGUGAAUAAAGUGUCCAAACAGCCUUCUAUUAGUAAAGGAGACAGGAAUCCUUCUGAUUCUCAUACAUGAGAGCAGCGAGAAGCUAAAAAGAGGGUCCACAAGUCCACAGAACACCCUACGCCUCUCUACACAGAUGUACCCAUAGUUUCAUCAAACAGAUCCUCUGCCAAUCCAUUUCCUCCCACCUGUGGAAACAUUCCUGCUUUCUGAUGAGCUAAGGCCAGAAAACAGCAAUGAUCUCAUAAACGAGCAUUAUCUUUAGUUCACAGAGACCAGGGUACAAACAGAUUGCUCAAAACCCAGUGACAGAUUGGAAAUGUUAUGUCCUUUCCCAAGCUACGUGAUUCCCUACUAAUUUAGGGCCCUUUUGGAUGAUGGAUCUUGAACCAUAGAGGAUUUUGCAGCUCUAAUUACAUUUUUUACUUCAAUGGCUCACAUUUGACUCAUUCACUGAUGAAGAAAAUUAAAGUCUUCACACAGAAUAUUUUGACAUUGGCCUCCCAGCCCAGAAAGGAAGAGUAAAGACACCAAAAUGCCCAGGCUGAGCGUCCAAAAUAUGAACAUCUCUAUAAGACACACAGCUUUGGCAUUUCCCAGCUUCAGGUUAAUCUCAAUUCUAACUGUGUUUAAUGUCCACAUGGCUCCAAACGCUCACAGAAUAUAAAGGACUCCUGUCUUCCUAACAUGGGUCCUGAGUUCUGGGAACACUUCUACUUAGGUUCAAUGGAAAAGACCAAAGAAAAGUAUUUUGGGGCCUCUCCUCUCUGUCGCCUUUCCCUUUCCGCUUGUUAAAGGGAUUGUUAGAGGGCUUUGGCGAAUGCAGUCAUUUCCAGGAGAGGAAGCGGCCUUUCUUCCAUGCCCCAAGCAGCUGGAGUGAAUCAGAGGGGCAGCCACAUCUGCACAUCCUGUGGGGCAAUCGCUCACGCGCGGGUGACGGGGCCCUCGGGCCCGCUGGGGCUCUUGGGGACCCCGGGCGGGGCGGGAUGGAGGCCUAGCGGGAGUGGCCCCUCAGGGGUGCUUAGGGCGCGGCCACCGGGGAGCAGAGCUGGGCCGCCCCCUUUACAUUCCGCGUGCGCCCCUCGUUCCUUCUUUUCCUGCUCUCUCUCUUUCUCCCCCUCCCCCUGCAGUGGCGGUACCCGUGCCCAGCCUAGUGCCCCCGGCUGCCCUCGGCCCCCCUUGGUCGAUGAGUAACCACCCCCCUCCUGGUUUACUACGGCGCCCCCGGUUGCCUAGCAGCGGGCGUGCGUUGCCAUGGCGACACGCCGGGAGCGUGUUUUGAAUUGUUUGGCGCGGCCCCGCCCUAGCGGCCGCGCGUCUCCCACUUCCCGAGCGGGUGGGGCUGAGGCCGGACCUUUUGUUCCUCUCCAUCUUCCUCCCACUGAUGAGAACCGCGUCCCGGGUGCCCCCCUAGAGAAGAGGAGCCGGGAGAGCAGGACGCAGGGAGGGCGAGCCGCGGGGUCGGGGACCCCAAGGAGCGCGGCAGCCACGUGGCCCCGAGCUGGGCCCAAUGGGGCAGCGGCCGGCUGCUCUGCUUCCCUCGCGAGGCGUGGCAGAAGCGGGUGCAGAGACCGGGUCGUCGGAUAAAUUCCUCACCCCAAGGCCUGUAGGCCCAGGGGCAGGAGGUGCCUGUUGCUGUGGGACUCUAAGUCUGGCAUUUCCCAGCCCCCUGCCCUUCCGGUAAAGGUACCGGUCCCUGGCCCUAGUUAUAAAGUCAGGCUCUGUCUUUGCCUCACUUCGUGGAUCUGAGAGAUGAGACUUCGGUGCCUUGAACCCUGAGCAGAUGUGAGUUCUAGUUGCUGUUCCACGUGCGCCUGGACUAAUGAUUUUGGCCGAGUUACAUAGCCUCUCUGAGCGACUGUUUCUUCAGAGAGAAAUUAGGAGAAAGAGUUGUCCUUCACAUUUCUGCUGUGAAGAUCUAAAGAGGUAGAGUGAACAUGGAAAGGAGGGGGAAGGGAACCCGAGCCGGGUACCACACACCUCACUAGACUCUUCACAAACAUCUCAUUUAAUCCUCACAACCAGCCUGAAGCAGAGGUGGCCACUCCCUUCCAGACCUGGGGAAUCAGACUCGGAGCAUUUGAUUUGCUCAAGGCCACCACGCUAGGAAAGGGUGGAGUCAUUAUUCGACACCUCCUGACUCAUGGCCAGGCUGCCGCUCAGUAAAGGGGAGGCACAGUCGCCUCAAAACGCCAGAAGAUGGAAACUCACACAGAAGGAGACAAUGGAUUAAGUGUAGUUUAUACUUCACAGAUACAUACUGAUGCCCAGACUCAUUGCCUCCCAUAUUGCCUCUGUGAUUCUCCUCACAGACCAAUUUAAAAAAAUUUACUAUGGCUGGCUUUUUCUGUCAUGUUCCUAUCAACUUCUGAGGAUUCUCCUAUUUAUGAUCUAUUCACUUCCAGGUGCUUCUGAACUAGAGAAGCCGGCUGAGUCCAUACUGAGGGCUCUUCAGAACCACUAGCUCUUCUCUGCAGUCCCAGAAGUGUCCCUUUCUUAGGUCCUAUCCUGUUCUUCUGAGAUCUUAACUUCCGAUCCAUGAACAGCACACCACAUUACUCUAUGUGCGUGCGUGUGUGUCUUUUGUUUCUCUGGCUAAUUCUAAGCUUCAUUUUUUUCCUCUCGUGAGAGAGGCAUGAUAUGAGAAAGAACUUUUGCUUUUUUAGUAACCCUUUGAGCUGAAAGUUGGAAGAUCCCAACUUUCUCAAAUGGGAGGCAAGUCACUUCCAGAUGUGCAUUUUACCCUAAACAAGCCAAGACAUCUUGCUGGCUGUGAAGGUCUUCUUGGGUCUGGAAGGAUCCCUGCAGAUUCUCCCAGAUUCUCUGAGACCAGAAAGAGCCGAAGGUUGUGUUCUCCUCCUUAGUUCCAGAUCAGAGCUGGCUUUCAACAGGACCAUGGGGAUGCCUCACCACUCUCUGGCAGAGAACUUACCAUCUGCUCUUUCAGUUCACUAGAAUGAUAUACAUCUCUAUCGUUGCUACCACCACUGGGCCUUUUACCAGGGACCAGAUUUUGGCAACAGGAAUCAGACAGAUGGAGGGGAAAAAGACGUGCUAGAGGGCUCCUAGCAGUCCUGGGAGCAGAGAGGAAAAGUGAGAUGAAGAGGCAAAGGAGGAAGAAAUGGAAGUUUUAAUGGAAGAAUAUGGAAACAGCAAGAGGCCAAGAUUGGCAAAAUUCAAAAGCUUGACGAUUAUCCUCUGUUGAUGAGGCUACGGGGAAACAGCCACUUCCAUUCAUUGCUGGUGGGACUUCAACAUGUCCCAGCCCUACGGAGGAGAAUUUGGCAGGAUUUAACAAAGCUACGUACGCUUUUAUCCCUUGACCGCAGAAAUCCUAAUUCUAGGAAUUUACCCUGAAGAUGCGCCUCUGUCAAUAUCAGGAUACGUAUGCACAAAGAUAAAUACUACAACUACACUGAAGGGGAAAAAGCAAAAGAAAGAGCAAAUUCAAGGAACUCAUGAACAUAGCGUUUGACCAUUUACCUUCUGUCUUGGCUUUGUCUACUGAAAGGGCCUAGAAGCAAAGACUCCCCAGUAGCAAUGAGCACCUAGCGCUCAAAUCUUGUCCUGUAAUACUAAGAGCUCCUCAAAGAAAUGGCCAAUUCCAGAACUGGGACAAGUUACAGCAGGACCGCAGUUCUCUGGGGAGUUCUGUGCAAGCAGGAGUACCGUGGCCUGGACGCACGUUUCGCUGACCUUGCUAGGAUGAUUAACAAAUAUGGCAGAAGUUCAGAGACGGUGAAUCUCCAUGGAGGCAAACUGAGAGUGGACAGGGCUGGUGGAGAGGAAUUCCAGUGGGGUUUGGAGCCUGCUGAGUCAUCAUUGAUUCCAACAUAACUGCCAGUGUUAAGUGGAUCAGUGCUCAUGGGAGUCUGCUCAAGGUUCCAUCCAUCUCUGGCAUCAUGUGGCUUGAGAGAGUUCCAGGGCAGGAGUUUUCUCAAACGUGGGUCAUUUCCAGCUUGACUUUGAAGAUUCCAAGCCAUCUGCCUGCUCUGCUGGGUAAAGCGUACUAUUUCUAACAUUUGGAUGUGAUACUAACCGUGUAGCAAAGAAUGGUUCAAAAAUGCGUGGAUGGCACUUCUGCUUACACUUCAGCCUCAAGACUGGUUGUAAUAUUCUGGCCUUCCCUCUUGAUGUAAGGAGUUGCUGCUACUGUAGGAAGAUGAGGGGAUGGAUUGUAAGGAGAAUGGAGUGGCAGGGUUGGUGCGGAAACUCUCAGUGGGAGAAGGAGGCGGUGAUGGGGAGAUCAAGGAUGAACAGCAUAAGCAGAGUACUGCACGGGGAUGAGUAUAGUGGACCAGCCAGGAGGCCAGUCUGAUUAGAGCCAAGGAGAAGACUGGCACAGAAGACACUCUGAGUGGCAGGCUGAAGAAUACCAGUGGAACACCAUGACUGAAUCAUAGAACAUCAUGCGACUUCAUGGUGGUGUGCACAGACUGAUGGAGAGAACGUGGAUUUUGGAAUCAGACAGAACUGGGUUUGAAUCCUGGAUCUGCUACGUACUAGUGUGUGACCUUGGAACUUCUGCUCUGUGUCUCAGGGUUUCUCAUCUAGAAAUGGUGGCAAUAGUACCUCCCUUGUGGGGCUGUGAUGGACAUUGUUGAUGAUACAGAUACAAAAUCUAGCGCAGUGGCUUCAAAUUUUAAAUGCUCAAUAAAUGGUAGCUGUUAUACAUUUAUCAUUAUGGGAUGUUUGCCCCAGAAGAGGCCUUGGAGCUUAUUUAAUCUAAGCCCCUUAUUCUAGACGUGAGAAAAACGAAGCACAGAGCAGUCAGCAAAGUCAUCUGUUUGCCCAACCUUGCCAGCUAGUGACAGAAUCUUACUCAUUGGACACUUACUAUUUAUCAAAAAGUGCUUGGUAGUGUACAGUCAGACACGUGUUAGCUGGUGACUUUGCUGCAAGGAGUCAGGAGCACCCUCUGGAGACACAGACUAGGAGUCUAAUUCUCGCUUACUCUGUGCUGGGGGAACUUUCCUAUUUAGCCAGAGACUAGAUGUAAACCAGUAAAGCGCUCCCGUGACGUAGCUACCACCUUUCUUCUAUUCCCCAAGCCUCCCUCACUCUUUGCUGCCACUUAGGGCCACUUCAUCCAGCAAAUUCCUACUCAUCCUGUAGGUUUUGACUUAAGUGCCAUUUUCUCAAUGAAAUCUUCCCAGAUCCUCCCAGCAAGGUGAGGUUGUCUGCCAUAUGCUCCUGUAUCACCCUGUGCUUCUCUCUACAGUGUUCCUUGAGCUCCUUAUGACAUCAUCAGUACCCAUCUUUCCUGCUAGGUAACCUCUGUAAGAGCAGCAGUUGGCUGAUCUUAUUCUCUGGGGCACCCCUAGAGCCUGGCAAAGAGUAGAUGCUUAAUGAAUUUGGUUAAAUGAUUAAAUAAGAUCUACUAAAUGCAAUAGUUGUUCCAGAAUUUUGGAGUUGCUGCUUGGAAUGUAAAAAAUACUCUAAAGAUGAGAAGAUAGCCUCAGAAUAAAGGAAAGUUCUUCCCAAGAACGGCAAUUAGAAAAGUUAUACUGAUAUGUACAUAUUUAUGUAAUAUGCAUCAUACCUACACAGACACAAGUGUAUUGCAUUACCCUUAUUUUUCUCAUUUCGCUUUGCAGCGACACUUCAUCAGGGACUUACUUGGCCCAAGGACUGGCAUUUGGAAACUGCUAUGCUAAAAGUCAUAGCCAUUAAUUAACUGUAGCAAUUGCUAUUACUCCACAUUGCUGAGGAAAGCAAAUUUCAGAGUCCCAAAGGUUCUCAUGAAAAAUGUACCAAAUGUACAUCCAUCUUUUAUUUCCUCUUGGUCCGGUUUUCACCCCUAGUUCUACUUUUUUUUUUUUAAUGAAAACCCUACCUCAUCAUGAUGGCUCAUUUAGUUCCCAGGGCAUACUGUCCAGGCAAAGGAGGGAGCAGCACGUGCAGAAAAGGACCAUUCCUCUGGGAAGUGUCAUUUAGCCAAACUGGAGCAUGACUCCUUAUAGUGGGACCCGGGGACACCAUGUACAGUUGUGCAGACUGCACCCUGCCCAGGGUCCCCAGCUGAGAGGAGUGGGCUCUCUCACCAAGCUAUGCAUCCAGAUGGGGACUGCCUCUGCAAGGAGGAUAAGGUCACAUGUUUCUAAGUCACACAAAGGAGAAAGGGCUGGAGGUGGUGGCGAUUCAAUGAGUCCAUAGAGUGUGUUGGUUUAGAGAACGUGGGCUUUGCAGUCAGAGAGAAUAGGUUUGGAUCUCUGCGCCACCACUUACUAUGUGACCUUGGGCAAGUUUGUAAGCCUCAGUUUCCUCGACUGUAAAACAAGAAUAGCACAAUAUUUAUUUCAUAAGGUUGUUGGGAGGAUUCAAUGAGAUAAUGUAGGCAGAAGGCUCAGCAGAGUGGCAGGGCCGUAUUUAGUCUUCAUCAUGCUGCCGAUGUUGAUCAUUGAUGGUGCCAUGACGCCUGUGGCCAUCCUCUGCUUAGAGACAGAGAACUCACACGCCCUUUGCUCUCCUCUCCUUACCUCACUGCCUUGGCCCAACUUGUGGUUUCCCUUAAUGUGCCCACCAUUCUUGUUUACUAAAAUCACAAAUCCAAAUACCACCCUAGACCUCUCUCUCUUCUUCUCCCUCAACUCCAAUAUCUAAGCGGUCACUAAAGUCUAUCAAUUCUACCAGCUCCAUCUCCAUUUCACCGCUAUUGCCCCUGCUACUUGGUCCAGAACAGUGUAAUUCCUCUCUUGGACAACAGCAGCGGCUUCCAGGCUGGCUCCCAUCCCCAAUCUUUCAGAAAUGCAAUUCUGAUUGCAUGUAUUCUCUUGCUUACGAUUAUCUCUGUUUGCCUGCAGAUAAAGACCAAAGUUCUUUGGGAGUCAUUAUGGUUCUGCAAGACCUGGCCUGCCCCCUCACUGCUCCUACCUCAAUUCCUGUGUUCCAGAGACACGACACGCUCUAUGAACUCUCAACAGCUUUAUUGUCUCUGUGCUUUAGACAUGUUGCUCUCCCUUCCUGGAAUGCUGUUAAUAAUGGUGAUGAUGAAGUGGAGGAGGAUGAUAAUAAGGAUAACAGCCUCCAUGUAUUGGGAGUUUACAGCAUACCGUUUUUGGUGCUUAGUGUUCACAUUCAUAAUCUGACUUUCCCCAACCUCGGUCCCCUGGUGAACUCAUCAAAUAUGAUUAUGAUAUUUUAAAAUAUAUCUCUGUAUUUAUUCACAUGAGUGCUUCACUUGUAGUCCAGAGGGCGUGACUUUGCCUGUCUCUUACCUACAGGGGGAGCCUGUGUUGACGUGUAUGGUAGCUGGAGCUGCACCUCCUACUCUUUAUUUCCCCCUCUUUUAAAUAGUCUUGAAUUUAUAGAGAAGUUUUAGGUUCACAGCAAAAUUGAAUGGAAAGCCCAAAGAGUUCCCUCAUACUUUCUACCUCCCCCUCGCAGCCUCACCCAGUAUCCCCCGAGUGGUCCAUUUAUUACAAUUGAUGAUGAACCAACAUUGAUAUGUCAUCACCACCCAAAGUCCAUAGUUCACCUUAGGGUUCAUUCUUGGUGUUGCACGUUCUAUGAGUUUUGACAAAGAUAUGAUAACACUUAUCCACCAUUGUAGGAUUAUGCAGUACAGUUUCACUGCCCUAAAAAUCCUCUGUGUUCCACCUAUUCAUCCUUCCCACCCGUCAACCCCUGGCAACCACUGAUCUUUUGACUGUCACCAUAAUUUUGGCCAGAACGUCAUAUAGUUGAAUCAUACAGUAUGUAGCAUUUUCAGACUGGCUUCUUUCAUUUCGUAA